rnacentral:lncRNA from 1 species
AAACAAAAUCGAUCUGUCUGAGCUAGCUAGCUUUGAACACGUACUUUUUUUCUCUUUUUUCUUUUUGUCGAAAUGGAGGAAAAUUGAACACGUACUUGGACGAGGAAAGGAUGAUCUUGCAUGCAUACGAUCUGGAUAGGUUGUGAUGAGAUCGGUCGCUAGAUUAGAUAGAUCUGUCUGAGUCUGACAGACCGGCUGAAAAUGCAAAUGCACUACCUCGAUCCACUCCCACUAAAAUAGCCACACUAUGUAUGUAUGCACAGUGUACGUACCGUAAAGGAAAGGAAUCUAUUUGGCACGCAUGCGCGCAUGCUAUCUUUGGAUAAGGGGCCGGGAAAAGAUGACGUUUGAUCGAUAUGC